rnacentral:lncRNA from 1 species
AAUGUGCAUGCUGAGGAGGCCUCACGCCAGUUUAGGCUCUCCAGUAUCUCCCACUGAGCUACUCUGUCCCCGACUUAGAGGACCAGGAGAAGGGGGAGCUGGAGGCUGGAGCCUGCCACACCGUGGCUCGUCUCACUCUGGAUGGUGGUGGCAACAGAGAUGGCAGUGUGGCUGGAGUUUUAGGAGGGCGGCCUGAGCCGUAGGAGGGGGCUGGAGCAGUAACAUGGCGGCCUGAGCGGUUUUUCUGGCAUUGUCUGCCCAGCUGCUCCAAGCCAGGCUGAUGAAGGAGGAGUCCCCUGUGGUGAGCUGGAGGUUGUAGCCUGAAGAUGGCACAGCUCUGUGAUUCAUCUCCUGCGGUUGUGGCGGCCACGGUGAUGGAGACUGCAGCUCAACAGGAGUGGUAGGAGGGUACCCGUGGAGGCCAAGUAGUAGGAGCCUUGGAGGGUGGGUAGGUGCAUGGAGGGUGACAGCAGCGCUGGUUCCGUUGGCGUCGGCGCUAAUGGUGGCAGCAGCAGCAAGUCUAGGGGCCAGGAAGGGGGAGUAGGAGAG